GCCCUUCGCCUGUUUAUCAAAAACAUGUCUUUAUGAUUAUUAUAUAAAGUCUAAUCUGCCCACUGAAUUUUUAAAUGGCCGCAGUAUUUUGACUGUGCGAAGGUAGCAUAAUAAUUAGUUUUUUUAUUGAAAGCUAGAAUGAAUGAUUGGAUGAGAAAAUAUCUGUCUCUUAUUUAUUUAUAAAAUUUUAUUUUUAAGUUAAAAAGCUUAAAUUUUAUUCAAAGACGAGAAGACCCUAUAGAGUUUUACAAUAUUGUUUAUAUUGAAUUUUUUAGGAAUAAUCUAUUUGUUAUAAUUAAAUUGUUUUGUUGGGGUGAUGGAAAAGUUUAUUAAACCUUUUUAUUUAUUAAACUAUUUUGAUUGAUUAAUUGAUCCUUAGAUUAGGAUGAUAGAUUAAAUUACCUUAGGGAUAACAGCGUAAUUUUUUUGAAGAGUUCAUAUCGAUAAAAAAGUUUGCGACCUCGAUGUUGGAUUAAGAUUAAAUUUAAUGAAGAAGUUAAAUUAAGGAGUCUGUUCGACUUAUAAAAUCUUACAUGAUCUGAGUUCAAACCGGAGAAGGGC
rnacentral:rRNA from 1 species